UUCUUUCUAGAGGCUCUGGAGUUGGGCAGG
rnacentral:piRNA from 1 species